rnacentral:rRNA from 1 species
GAUGAACGCUGGCGGCGUGCCUAAUACAUGCAAGUCGAGCGAACAGACGAGGAGCUUGCUCCUCUGACGUUAGCGGCGGACGGGUGAGUAACACGUGGAUAACCUACCUAUAAGACUGGGAUAACUUCGGGAAACCGGAGCUAAUACCGGAUAAUAUAUUGAACCGCAUGGUUCAAUAGUGAAAGACGGUUUUGCUGUCACUUAUAGAUGGAUCCGCGCCGCAUUAGCUAGUUGGUAAGGUAACGGCUUACCAAGGCGACGAUGCGUAGCCGACCUGAGAGGGUGAGCGGCCACACUGGAACUGAGACACGCGCCACACUCCUACGGGGGGCACCAGUAUAGAAAAUUCCGCGAUGGGCGAAAGCCUGACGGAGCGACGCCGCGUGAGUGAUGAGGGGCUUCUGAGCUUAAAACUCUGUUAUUAGGGAAGAACAAAUGUGUAAGUGACUAUGCACGUCUUGACGGUACCUAAACAGAAAGCCACGGCGAACUACGUG